UCGUGGUGCAGCUAGAUAGGACUUUGGUUAUGCUGCAUUAUGCCCCAUUACAGGAAGAUGUGAACACUUUGGAAAGGGUGCAGAGGAAGCUUACCAGGAUGAUGCCGAGUUUAAUGGGUACUAGCUACAGGGAGGGGUUGGACAGAUUUGGAUUGUUAUUUCUGGAACGCCGUAGAUUACGGAAAGACCUGAUUGAAAUAUAUAAAAUUAUGAGAGGCAUAUAUAGGGUAGAUGGUAAGAAAAUUUUCCCAGGAUGGAAAAAUCAAAUACAAGAGGGUAUAGCUUUAAGGUGAGAGGGGGAAAGUUUAAAGAAGAUUUGUGGGGGAACGCAUUUACACUGAAGGUGGUGAGUCCCUGGAACAUGCUGCCGGGGUUGGUGAUUGAGACAGGUAUGAUCCUCCUGGAUUGGCAUAUGUUUAUGGAGGGCUGUGGAUUAUAUAAAAUGGUCUUGGCAUCUUGUUCAGCAGAGACAUUGUAGGCUGUAUGGCCUGUUCUUGUAUUGUAUUCUAUGUUCUACAUGGAAUUUUCAUUUUCAAAGGAACUUGCAUAACCACUCCAUUUCUUGUUCUUUACCUUCAAAAUCCGUAUUAACAUGUCUAUUUUGGUGGUAGUUGGGUUUUUUUUUCCUGACUCAUGUCAUGUGCAUAUAAUAGGUGCUAAUUUACUAUAAUAUUGGUGCCUUACUAUUGUCUUCUUAAUUAUAAAAUACUUCUGGAUGUUAGGUCACCAAAUGAUAGAUAAUAUUUGUGACUCAAAGGCAUAAUCUCAAUUUCUGCAAGU